rnacentral:rRNA from 1 species
CCUACGGGGGGCAGCAGUGGGGAAUAUUGGACAAUGGGGGCAACCCUGAUCCAGCCAUGCCGCGUGUGUGAAGAAGGCCCUCGGGUUGUAAAGCACUUUCAGUGAGGAAGAACGCCUGGUGGUUAAUACCCAUCAGGAAAGACAUCACUCACAGAAGAAGCACCGGCUAACUCCGUGCCAGCAGCCGCGGUAAUACGGAGGGUGCGAGCGUUAAUCGGAAUUACUGGGCGUAAAGCGCGCGUAGGUGGCUUGAUAAGCCGGUUGUGAAAGCCCCGGGCUCAACCUGGGAACGGCAUCCGGAACUGUCAAGCUAGAGUGCAGGAGAGGAAGGUAGAAUUCCCGGUGUAGCGGUGAAAUGCGUAGAGAUCGGGAAGAAUACCAGUGGCGAAGGCGGCCUUCUGGACUGACACUGACACUGAGGUGCGAAAGCGUGGGUAGCAAACAGGAUUAGAUACCCUUGUAGUC